UCUCAAUCUGAUAAAUCGUAUAACUCCUCACAAAGAUUGUCUUGGCCAAGGUCUUACUAAAUUAAAACACAAAGCAUUCUCUCCAAUCUCUUGGAGUGAUCAAUUCUAUCUUGACUCACGCACCGACUUUACAAGUAUUUGACUAUGCCUAAAAACCUUCCGAUCUUGAGUUAGAAAUUGAGGUAGUCUAGCACUAAAGCAUAGUGAGUUGCUUGCAAGUCACCAUGGUGAUCUCAGAUCGGAGAGACACUUAUAUCCAUAUCCUUUCGGAGUGACUCUUGACAGCAGAGUGCUUCGAAGUUGAUCGCGUUCAGUGAAAUAUACUCUUAUAUUUCAUCUGCAUGCCAUACCAAUAUCUCCACGCUCCUUGGUUAAGAGGCCAACCAACCUAUAUAGCAUACAACGACCUGCACUUGAUAUGUCUAUCAUCCUAGUAAUAGCAUAUCAUUUGGUUGCGAACUCAUUUAAGGAC
rnacentral:lncRNA from 1 species